GGUAGAUGCCUUCGCUCAAGAACCGAGUGUCUAAAGGAGAAGAACCAAUACAUUGAACUCCAUUGACAGCUUCUCAAAGUUUUGCUUCUAAAUCAAAGAAUGAAGUUUGUGUCCCUGUUUUCCACAACAAGCGCAGCAGCUUCGGUUGUGUUUCCUAGAAAACAUGCUUGAACCUCGAUGGCUCUCUUUCCGGAAAGUAAUCUCGUAUUUGAUCGAAGAAUGCAAGAACAUGAGACAACUUAAACAAAUCCAUGCCCAAAUCUUAGCGUCUUCAAACCUACCGCAAAAAGACCACCAUUUCUUGAUUUCCCGUCUUCUCUUCUUUUGCGCCCUUUCUGAAUCGGGCUCUCUUAGCUACGCCACACAUAUUUUUCAACGCAUAAAGAACCCAAAUCUCCCCAGCUAUAACAUCAUGAUCAGGGCCUAUGCUUCUAAAAACAGCCAAGAUUAUGAUACCCAUUUAUGUCAGGCCUUAAUACUAUAUAAACAGAUGCUUUGUAAUGGCAUCUCACCUGAUACCCUCACUUUGCCAUUUCUUGUAAAGGAGUGCACGAGGAGGAGAGCUAUAGGCACAGGCAGAGGUAUUCAGGGACAGUCUAUCAAACAAGGGUUUUAUAUCGAUCUCUUUGUUCAAAAUUCAAUGAUAAGUUUUUAUUUUGCUUGUGGGUUUGUGGAUAAUGCAAGGAAGUUGUUUGAUGAAAUGUUUAAUAGGGAUGUUGUUUCUUGGAACUCGAUGAUUGUUGGGUAUUUGAGAAGUGGAAAUCUUGACGAGGCAUUGGUUUUUUUUCGAAAAAUGAAGAGGGGGAAUGUUAUUACUUGGAACUCGAUUAUAACGGGAUUUGUUCAGGGUGGCAGGCCAAAGGAGGCCUUGGAAUUUUUCCAUGAAAUGCAGUGUUUGAGCGAUGAUAUCAAUAUGGCUAGACCAGAUAAGAUUACCAUUGCUAGUGUACUUUCAGCUUGUGCUUAUCUUGGUGCUAUUGAUCAUGGGAAGUGGGUGCAUGGUUACUUGAGGAGAAGUGGUCUAGAGUGUGAUAUGGUGAUUGGGACUGCAUUAGUGGACAUGUACGGGAAAUGCGGUUGUCUGGAAAGAGCUUAUGAGGUCUUCAAGGAAAUGCCUGAGAAGGACACCUUGGCAUGGACGGCUAUAAUUUCUGUAUUUGCGCUUCAUGGAUAUGGUCAGGAGGCUUUUGAUAUUUUCAAAGAAAUGGAAGCAGAAGGGGUGAAGCCCAACCAUGUCACUUUUGUUGGGCUAUUGUCAGCUUGUGCUCAUUCGGGAUUUGUAGAGAUUGGUCGCUGGUGUUUUGACAUAAUGAAACGCAUUUACAGAAUAGAGCCACAAGUUCAUCACUACGCAUGCAUGGUUGAUAUACUUGGUAGAGCUGGACUUUUUGAAGAGGCAGAGGAACUUAUUAGAAACAUGCCAAUGGAGCCAGAUGUAUUUGUAUGGGGUGCCUUGUUAGGAGGAUGCCAAACGCACAGGAAUGUACAAUUAGGUGAAAGAGUGGCACAACAUUUGAUUAAUUUGGAGCCACUGAACCAUGCUUUCUAUAUGAACUUGUGCGAUAUAUAUGCAAAAGCUGGAAGGUAUAAUGAUAUGCGGAGAAUUAGAGCCUCAAUGAAAGAACAACGGAUUAAAAAAGAAGUCCCAGGCUGUAGCAUGAUUGAAGUAAAUGGAAUUGUUCAUGAGUUCUCAACGAUAGGUUCCCCAGAUGUUGUGAUGGAUGAACUAGUCUUUGUCUUGACUACAUUAAGUAAUGAGAUGAAGGUAAACAUUGUGUUAAUGAGAAAUUGAUGGAGCCAUGGAUUUCUUGACAAUAUGGUGACAUCUAUAUCCAGUUGACCUGUAAGCAAAUUGUUUCACUUUUCAUGUAUUUUGGAGUCUGAUAAGUUAUUGAAUAAUUUUCUAGAUUCUUCAAGUAACGCUGUGGAGAGAAAUUCGGAAGAAUCUGAUUGAGAUUAAAGAGGACCAGUAGACUCUUGAUUCUCUUCAACCGAAUGAGGCAAAAGGGAGGGAACUGGGAAGGGAGAUAUAUUAUCAAGGAUCCUGUAGAAUGACAAAUAAAUAUUACCCGGUUCCAUCAUAACAUCUCUGCUUAAAGAAAAGGCUGCAUUGGGAAUGCAAGAAGUAACCACAAUAUAUGAAAAGGAUAUCUGCAAAAGAAUUUUCAGAAUUAAAUACAGAUGAAGCCAGAGACGAGAUGCAGUAUCUUCAUGCAGUUCAUAUUGAAACUCUCAUAUUCGUCCAGUAUUUCCAAUGGUAAUGUGCAACACCAAUGACUCCAAUUACAUAAAUUACGGAUGGGAUGCAAGAACUCAAAGUAUUUUGUCAUUGCCACACAAUAACAGCAAAAUUUCGUAUCUGAAUACUCAGCAACAUGAAUUUCUUCCCCUCUCCCUUUUGCUAAAAAAAAAAGAAUUUCUUCCCGUCUCCCCAAUCUCACUGAAAAUAUUAAUUUCUUUAAUUUCUUCAUUUAUAUUAGCCAUAUGACUUCAAAUUCAUUGAGAUUCAGUGUCUCUUUGCAGUAAAUGUUUAUCAAUCAGAAGUUUCUGCUUCUGG
rnacentral:misc_RNA from 1 species